CCUUUUCCUUUGUCAGCACAGAAAAAGAAAUGCCAGGACACCAUCCACCCUCCCAGACAGGAUAAUUCUGCUGCUGCCGGCCCUUCUUCCUGGCUAGACUGGACCGCUGGAGAGCAGACACCCACUAUUGCCUGGCCCGUGGAAAGGAGCCUGGAGUAACCUGACGCUACCCAAUGGGCUUUUCUUUGCCGUUUCUGAUUUCUUCUGCCUCUUCUGCCUGUGAAACCAACCUCCCUGCUCAGUUCAUCAGAGUGACCUCUGUUUAAGGAGCUGCUAUUCCAAUUCAUGAAUCACAAAUAAAAGCCAAUGAGGUCAUUUAGCUAAAUGUCUUGUAACCUUGUCUUUUGACAGAAAUGAUGAAACAAUGAAGAAAUAAUAAAAUUCUCUUCUUUAUUUUCUAA